UACGAGGGGGGCGAGCGUUUGUUCGGAAUUAUUGGGCGUAAAGGGUGCGUAGGCGGUUUGGUAAGUCUUGUGUGAAAUCUACAGGCUCAACUUGUAGUCUGCACGAGAAACUGCCGGGCUUGAGUAUGGGAGAGGUGAGUGGAAUUCCUGGUGUAGCGGUGAAAUGCGUAGAUAUCAGGAGGAACACCUGUGGCGAAAGCGGCUCACUGGACCAUAACUGACGCUGAUGCACGAAAGCUAGGGGAGCAAACAGG
rnacentral:rRNA from 1 species